rnacentral:rRNA from 1 species
CAAAAGCGUAUAUUAAAGUUGUUGCAGUUAAAAAGCUCGUAGUUGAACCUUGGGCUUGGCUGGCCGGUCCAUCUUUUUUGAUGCGUACUGGACCCAGCCGCGCCUUUCCUUCUGGCUAGCCUUUUGGCGAACCAGGACUUUUACUUUGAAAAAAUUAGAGUGUUCAAAGCAGGCCUUUGCUCGAAUAUAUUAGCAUGGAAUAAUAGAAUAGGACGUUAUGGUUCUAUUUUGUUGGUUUCUAGGACCAUCGUAAUGAUUAAUAGGGACGGUCGGGGGUAUCAGUAUUCAGUUGUCAGAGGUGAAAUUCUUGGAUUUACUGAAGACUAACUACUGCGAAAGCAUUUACCAAGGACGUUUUCAUUAA